rnacentral:lncRNA from 10 species
CGCUUGCACGAGGCCUUCUCGCCCGUCAGCUACCAGCACGACCUGGCUCUGUUGCGCCUUCAGGAGGAUGCGGACGGCAGCUGCGCGCUCCUGUCGCCUUACGUUCAGCCGGUGUGCCUGCCAAGCGGCGCCGCGCGACCCUCCGAGACCACGCUCUGCCAGGUGGCCGGCUGGGGCCACCAGUUCGAGGCCUCCUUGCCUAUGAAAUUGAAUUAAUGGCACCUCCUCCCCUUCGGGCUUGCUGCGAGAGAGGAAGGGCAUGAGUGGGUUUACAAGCGCCUGGAGCAGCUUUGUCCAUCGUCCGGGCGGCAAGCGUUGUCAGAUGGGGUGUGAAGAAGGCGCUCUGUGUUCGCAGGGGCGGAGGAAUAUGCCAGCUUCCUGCAGGAGGCGCAGGUACCGUUCCUCUCCCUGGAGCGCUGCUCAGCCCCG